rnacentral:rRNA from 1 species
AACGGCCAUAUCAUGCUGAAUAUACCGGUUCUCGUUAGAUCACCGAAGUCAAGCAUCAUUGGGCGCGGUCAGUACUUGGGUGGGUGACCACCUGGGAACACCACGUGCCGU